GUCCGCCCCCUCCUGCCCCGCAGCCUCUUGGGCCGCUCAAACUCGAGGACCAGGCCAGGGUUCGGGGUCCCAGCUUCGAGGGCCAGGGAGCGGACGUAGACGCUUCCUCUUCCCACACACGCUGGCACAGCCCCCGAACCUCUCCCCACACUUCCACCCAGCCAUCCUCAGGGGCCGCAGGUCCUGAGCUGCUUUCCUUUGCCAUACUGUCUGCCAUGAUGUUCUGCCUCACUGUGGUCCCUGAGCUAACGGAGUACGCUGUUUAUGGAUUGAGACCACUGAAACUAGAUUCUAAGAGUAACUGAGGAGCUACAAGGAAGGCUUGAAUCAUGUGCAUAUGAGGGAGGCACCAAUGUUUCAACUGGGUUGCUUUCUAUUGGGUGCCUAUUAAGCACUCAGCGCGUUGGAGGAUGCCAGAGAAUUGAAGACUGCCUUCAAUCUCCUGCCUUCAAGGAUCAUCUUAUCUACUUGGGAAGAGACCUACCUACUAAGAACUGUCAACCGAUACAACCAAAUAAUUAACAGCCUGACAUUAAAAUAUAUGAUGUUCAUUCCAUGUGUAUGGGUAUAUUUUAUGUACUGUAUUAUAUGAAAACCAUACUUUCUGAACCCACAGGACAGGAAUAAGAUUGUUUUGUGCACAAUUUACCUCAGGCCUACUAUACCACAGCACCUGGCACUUAGUAGGAAAUUGAUAAAUACUAUUGAAUAACUGAAUAAGUCAGGUAUCAUAGUAAAAUAUAUGUGGCUUAUAGAAUACUUUAAAUCAAGACUGGCAAAACAGAUCAGAAAAUAUGUAUAAUCAUAGGAAAUCCUAUAGAGCAAGUGAAUCUUGAGUUAGAUUCUGGAAAAUUCCUUAAGGGACUUAUAACCUAAUAGAUUGAAACCAUCAGUGCAGAGAGACCUCUUGUACCCUUGGAUUUGGUUUGAAUUUGAGAUUUUUGUGGUUUGCUGUGCUAACCCACGCUUUUCCCUCACACAUGGACUGGAUUUUUGCUCGAAGUCCAAAGCAAAAGAAGAGAAGAAGACAGAUGGUGGAUAGUUGCAAGAAUGUAUACAUUAAUUCUACUUGCGGAAGUUUUAUGGGUGGGAAUAAUUCCUGAAGUAGGCAAGCAGCUUGUUUUCCUUCCUCCUACCCUCCAACCCAACUGUGUGCUCCAAAGUAUUCCUAAAAUAUUUGGCAAUAAGUACUACAAAUCUUAAAAAUCAUUGUGUUUUGAUUUAGUAAUUUUCCUUCUAAAAGUAUGUUAAGGAAAUAACCAGAAAUGUGAACAGAAACUUUUUGAAACAAAGAAAAUAUCACUAUUCAGCAUAAAAGCAGUUAAAUUUUUAAAGUUUAAUUAAAUUAAGUUUUGAUACAGAUAUAAGCCAAUUCUUACAUAAUAUUUAAAAAUAUGCCACAAAAUUGUGUAUGUAUAGGUAUCCCUGAAUAGAAUUAUAGUUGUUUAAAUUUUACUCUAUUGUAUAAAAUUUAUAUCUUUGAGGGGUUGGGAUUGUAGCUCAGUGGUAGGGUUCUUGCUGGCAUAUGCCAGGCUGGGUUUCAUUUCCAGCACUGAAAAAAAAAAGUUUUUGAAAUUUAGUGCAUGUUCUGACUAACAUUCCUCUGGUUGUGCCCUGCUUUCAAUGUCUUUAACUAGUCCUUGAUUAGACUAUAUUGCAACUUCAUAGAGAAAAGAUUAAUAUAUAGAAAAUUGAUAAUAAUGCAAAUGCUUCCUGUCCAUAGCUAUGAUUUCUGUUUCUGUGAUGCCAACACAAAUUAAUUUUGUCUAGUAGAUAAUAUAAAUCUUCAUAAAUCAAAUUCCCAUUGAUUUUAGCAUAUUAGUGAUUCCCUCAUUAAUUAAUGUCUUAAAUAAAAAAUUCGAUGUUUUCAUUUUAUAUUUCUCUGUAGUAAUAAUUUUGCCUUAUUUUGAAAAUAAUUCUUUAACACUAAGUAUUUCUUAUAUUCUAAGAAAUACCUAUUGUUUUCUACCAUAAAUAUGUUACUAAUUUUAGUAAACUUUUUAAGUAUAACAUGCAUGCAGAAAAGUAUAGAAGUUUAAAGAUUAAUGCAUUUCCACAAAAAUCAACAUACCAUGUACCUAAGACCCAAAUCAAGGAAUAGAACCUAUUGCCAUCCCAAAGUGCUUUUGUGGCUCUUUCCUUGUCACUCUAACCACCUUCCUUUUUUAAACACUAUCCUGCCUUGCAGCAUCAUGGAUUCAUAGUGUGUUCUCUUUUGUGUCUGGCUAUCAUGGCUAUCAUUAAUGUAUAUGGUUACAUAAAAUUCUGUUCUUUCAUUCCCUUUGCUUUGUAGUGUUCCAUUAUCUGAGUAGAUCACAUAAUGUCCAUUCUAAUGCUGAUAGACAUUCAGAUUGUUUCUGGUUUGGGGGCUAUUGUUAGCUAAUAAGCAAGGCAGGCACUUUUACAUUUACAGAGGAGAAAACUGCCACUUCUUUAAAAGACUGUUAAUGACCCUUCAAAGUUGUUUUUGUUGCAGCAAAAACUCUUGGAAAAACUUAGGAAGAACCAGCCAAGGUCACCCAGUCACACUGACUCACUCUUUUAGGCAACCUAGAUUAAACUUGGCUCAGUCUAUACUAAGCUAAGCAUACUCAGAAACAUUCCUGUCCAGUAAUUUUUCCUUCUUAAACAUGUGCUGUAGGACCUUGAACUGAGCAUGCCCAGAACUGUUGUCCCCCACCACAUGUACUUUCCUAUAUGAAUAUGUAUAGAUUCCCCAAACAAAAUCCUCAUGCUUCCUUUGUUUGGGGAGAGCACUGCUUUGCAGAUAACCCCAGUGCUUUUCUUACUUGAUGCAGGCAAUAAACUAUCUCCACUCUCUUACCUCCUGGUGUGCUUUUUGGCUUUGUACUCUGCUAGGAGCCAUAGCCAAGUAGUAAUGAUGCAUGGCAUUUUUGGUUGAAAGGUAACGCCAGCAAGCCAUUGAGAUGAUAUGAUUAUGUUAAGAUCUGCAUUCAAAUGGAUAUUAGACCCCUGCUGUCUGCCUAGGCCUGCUACUUUGGAGCUCUAGCGGGAUUCCCGGAGAGUUCCCAUUGGUUGGGGAAGUACGGUAGGAGGGAUUUCCGGAGGAGGGAUUUGUCUGUUGGGGUAGUGUGGCCCGGGAGAACGCCACGUGUGUGGUUUGGCAUAUUUCCCGGGAGAGUGCGUGGCAUUGGCGGGAGUUUCAGAAAUAAAGUUUGUUCCUGCUUGA